GCCACUGCAGUUGCCAGGGGUAGAAGCGACUGGCGCGGGACAUGGUAGUCCAUGGUGACCAUUCGGAUAAAUGUCCACCCGUAUAUCACAUGGACGUCUUGAGUCCACCAGAGCGGGCGCUGUUGUUCUUAGCAGCUCUUUGCUUUGGCUCAUGGAUGGGGACCCCCUUAUGAGAUCUAUACGCCCCAAUAAUAAUAGCAGGCGGGUUGAUCAGGGGCAACGGUAUAAACUUGGGCUAUUCGUCAUGCGUAAUCCCAGCCUAGGAGAUGGCACUCGGUGAAUCUACCGCUGUGAUUUCCUUUCUGCAGCCACGAUCCCUCAAUGUCACCACAGCUGUCCCCUGAAUGAUUACUUGUCAGCAUUUCACGAAGCAGGACCGCAAGAGCCCAGCGCUGCGUCUAAAGCUCAUCCAUCAAAUUCCAAAUAUACAUUCGCAGCGGGGAAUCGCAGAUUUCCCUCCUAUCUGCUCACACGGACGUAAAAAAAAAAAAAAAAAGGUAUUAACCGGUUGGGCGCCUCUCCAUGCUGUUGCUAUGUCCUGAGGGCCACCAAACCUGAAGUCUUUGCAUCUGUUGGUGACGUCAUGGUAAUAAAUGCUGGUUUCUAAGGGAGACUGUCAUCGCCAUCCCAGCAGGAACGCUGGUCUCGUCCUAUCUCAGACACCGAGAGCAAAAGUUCAUCAGUUAUGACCACGAGAGGCUUCAAUGGCAUCUAGGACCCCGGGCUACGAAGGUCGUUAAAUGAGAUGAGAGGUGGUGGAGGAACAGACCCAAAUGUCAGAUGUUGACACAGACUACAGAGAUGGAUAAGGAGAACUAAGCCUUCAAGUGACCACCAAGAGUUUCCUGUGUGUGGGAGCCCAAGCAAAACCCUAUAGGUGUUAUCCCAUGGUGCAAGGGGCUUACAGUACUACAGAUACCUUCAACCUUCUGUG